ACGGAGGGCGUGGCAGGCGACGUGCAGCCGCGUGACUGCGUGCUCUCAAGCGGCGGGCAAACACUCGGCCCUCGCGGAGCCGAGAGGCGCUGGUCCACACCCACGGAGCACCGGUCCGUGGUGUUGAGACCACAGCCAUGUCACGCGGAUCGCUGCCACAAGUUUUCUGUCACCCGCUGCUAGUCCUGACGCAUCGAGACUACAGGUUCCGGCAUGCAGUGCGAAUCGAUGUCAUCUCCCGUCGUACACUGCGAAUUCCGACUACGGGAGACUUCAGACUCCCGCAUUCGGCGCGGACCGCUGUAUUGGAUUGUACGUUGUAGUCCUGACGUCGAGGGAAACUACAAGUCCCAGCAUGCAUCGCGGACCGUGGUCCCACCAUUCCCGUCGUGCACUGCGAGGUUUACAAGUAAACUAUGGGUCGCCGAAGCUAUAGGUCCCGCUCCGCAGUGCUGUCCGUACGCCCGUAGUGGCGGCGGGCCUAGACUCGGUUCUUCUCUAGUCUGCUGCGCGGCGGAGGAGCUUGCGCAGUGGCGGCUCUUUUCAGAGCGGAGUUUAUAGCAUCGACGGCGGAUUAAGAAUGUCCGCCUCGCCUGCUUGCUCCUCCCGGGGCUGCUGUGCGCUAAUUACUCAUCAGGUCCUGCUUGGUGCGCGUAUCAGGCCUACUAAUGGGAGCCAGGAGGCACUCUGACUGGGGACUUCGCAGUUCUUGAAUCCUAUAAAGUAGCAUUCUCAUAAAGCUUGAGUGGGUGACCCGAGCCGUGAACACGCUUCUCUCAAGAGGCGUACACUUGUUACCUCAUCUUCUGCCAAUCCACCAGGCCUUCGUUGCUACGGGCUGUUUCAGUGAACAGCCUAAGCUGUAGCCUAUAGCGUCAGAGGUGUCUGUUUCUAGAUUUAAACCAAGAAAAAAUUUUUAAAAAUCCUUCAAAA
rnacentral:lncRNA from 1 species